AUGGUUGAAAAGCAUAUACAGGAAAGAGAAGGGAAGGUGAGCGAGUCGAUCUCAAAGUCCAGCCAGCACUUGGCCUCCAAGCAGAAAAAGGAUGGCACUGAGAAGAGGGGCUGGGGCAGGUCGCCCAAGCAGCCUCACGUGAGUCCCACGACAGCGCUGGUAGGGAGUCAGAAGGAGCCCAGCGAAGUGCCAAAACCUAAAAGACCUCAGGGCCGACCAAAUGGAAGCAAAAAAACUGGAGAAGGAGGAAGAGGAGGGCAUCUCACAGGAGUUCUCAGAGGAGGAGCAGUGACCGUGCGUACGUGUCGCCUGCUCGUUGCUGGAGGAGCUUCCUUCUGGUACUGGACAACUUUGCUCUGCUCCCACCGCCCCCAGCCCUUCCCCAGGCCGACCAUCACCACCGCCUCCGGCGACCACCCCUAUCUUCCAUCUGUGACUUCACCACUACACAGCACACCAGCCGCCACAGGGCCCCCAUGGGCUGAGUGGGGAGCCGUCUUCCCCUGGCCUCAGUUCCCAGCUCCCCCCGCCCACCCACGGGCACACACAUGUGCCCUCCUGGACAAGGCUAACGUUCCACUUAGCCGCACCCUGCACCUACUGUGUCCCCACUCCCUUGGUGGUGGGGACAUGGCUCUCUGGGUUUUGGUUUGGGGGCGCCCUCUCUGCUCCUUCAUUGUUCCCUCUGGCUUCCCAUAGUGGGGCCUAGGAGGGUUCCCCUGGCCUUAAAAGGGGCCCAAGCCCCAUCUCAUCCUGGCCCGCCCUACUCCACUGCCCUGGCAGCAGGUGUGGCCAAUGGAGAGGGCUGCUGGUCCCAGGAUUCCCCCAGCCAAACUGUCUUUGUCACCACGUGGGCCUCACACCUUUUAUCCUUCCCCACCUUCCCUAGUCCCUGCACUAGGUUGGACAGCCCCCUUUGGCUACAGGAAGGCAGGAGGGGUGUGAGCCCCCUACUCCCUCUUCAGGGUGGCCCCAGCCCCCUUGCCCUCUGCCUGGGAUCUGAGAACAUAUUGCAGUGAUGGAGAUGCAGUCACUUAUUGUCCAGGUGAGGCCCACGAGCCCUGUGGCCGCUACCUGAGGUGGGCUGGGGCUGCUCCCCCACCCCUACUUUGCUUCCGCCACUCAACCAUUUGCCCCUCCUCAGAUGGGGCACCAAUAACAAGGAGCUCACCCUGCCAGCUCCAAAUCCUCCUGCUCCUCCCUGCCCCCCAAGGUUCUGGUUCCACUUUUUCUCUGUUCACAAACCACCUCUGGACAGUCGUGUUGUUUUUUGUUCAAUGUUCCAUUCUUCGACACCUG